rnacentral:rRNA from 1 species
AAAUUGAAGAGUUUGAUCAUGGCUCAGAUUGAACGCUGGCGGCAGGCCUAACACAUGCAAGUCGAACGGUAACAGGAAGCAGCUUGCUGUUUCGCUGACGAGUGGCGGACGGGUGAGUAAUGUCUGGGAAACUGCCUGAUGGAGGGGGAUAACUACUGGAAACGGUAGCUAAUACCGCAUAACGUCGCAAGACCAAAGAGGGGGACCUUCUGGCCUCUUGCCAUCGGAUGUGCCCAGAUGGGAUUAGCUAGUAGGUGGGGUAACGGCUCACCUAGGCGACGAUCCCUAGCUGGUCUGAGAGGAUGACCAGCCACACUGGAACUGAGACACGGUCCAGACUCCUACGGGAGGCAGCAGUGGGGAAUAUUGCACAAUGGGCGCAAGCCUGAUGCAGCCAUGCCGCGUGUAUGAAGAAGGCCUUCGGGUUGUAAAGUACUUUCAGCGGGGAGGAAGGGAGUAAAGUUAAUACCUUUACUCAUUGACGUUACCCGCAGAAGAAGCACCGGCUAACUCCGUGCCAGCAGCCGCGGUAAUACGGAGGGUGCAAGCGUUAAUCGGAAUUACUGGGCGUAAAGCGCACGCAGGCGGUUUGUUAAGUCAGAUGUGAAAUCCCCGGGCUCAACCUGGGAACUGCAUCUGAUACUGGCAAGCUUGAGUCUCGUAGAGGGGGGUAGAAUUCCAGGUGUAGCGGUGAAAUGCGUAGAGA